AUUGUCGAAGGUCAUUCAGUCAGUUAGUCAACAACUUUCUUGGUCAAACAUAGGAGCGAGAAAUUCUGAGAUGUACAAUUUUGAAGCAUCUCCUAAUCCUUCUUCGACUUCAUCUUCUGUCCACGGUCAAGAUCUUCCACAACCUGGAGAGUUAGAUCAGCUACGGAAGGUGCACAUUAUAGCUGAUGGGAAGGGUAAGCCUAUUUUUUAUUAUAUUCUAAUUUCUAUAUUAUUUUUUGCUUUUUAAAUUAACUAUUUUACAAAAAUAUUAAUUAUUAAUUUGGGUUUUAUCCUUCAAGACCGGCUGCAAAUGCAAUUUCAGCAGGAAUCCAAAAACAUUAUGACGGUUUUUAUCCAACUUGGCGUGAAGUUUCCAAUCAUACAAAACAAGGAGUCUUCAAUGAGUUUAUGAAAAUCUGUACAUGGAGUCUUUCCGAGGAUCAAGUUAUUCAAAGUAAUUUUAAGAAGAAGGCAUCUUCUAUAUUGUCUUGCAUUCUUGCUAAAGCUCGAAGUAACGGACGGCGGCCUGGAUGGCUUGAGUCAAAUUAUUGGGAUCAACUUAUUGUAUGCUGGCAGUCUCCAGAGUUUCAAAAGAAAAGUGAACAGACAAAGACAGCUCGAAAGUCCAAGAAGGAUGGCUCAUUGCACACAUGUGGUUCGGUUUCCACGGGGACAGCUAAGAGGAAAUUGCAUCUCUUGGUAGACCAACACUCAUGAAAAGGUAUGGAAGAAGACCCAUAUUAAAAUUAGAGAUGGAAAAGAAGUCUGGGUCGAGACACGCGCAGAGGCCACCUAUAAUCGAUACGUUCAAGCAAUUGAAGAGCUCAAAAAGAACCGACCGAUAGAUGAUCAAGGCAAUCCAAUCAUGCUAUUAGAGGAAGAAACUCUCUCUUGCUAGCUGGAUGUAGUUGGCGGAGUGUAUAAGGGGAGGGCAUACGGCCUUUGCUCCAAGAAGAAUUUUCAUCACCUCCAGUGUGGAUUGCAAGGUAUAGGGGAUCUGCCACCAUGCCAGAUGAACAACUUGAGGAGAUGCGAUAGGAUGUUCGGGAGCUUUCUAGGAAGUACAAGGAGGAAUGAAAAGAAGGAAGGAUGAGGAGCGACGUAGGACAACCCUUGAGUCAGGUAUCCAAGAACUCAAGGCUCAAGUAAAUACGUUAAUCAAGCUUCCUCGUUCUCCACCCCUAGAUCUGACGAUAAUGAUGAAGAGGAUGAGGAUGAUGGAGUGGAUGAAAUGGAUUAUUAGGUGGUGUUUUAGUUUUGGAUUCUGUUAAUUUGGAGAGUUUGAAAGAAUUUGUUUUGCUACUUGUUUUCAUACUUUUAUAUACUUGUUUGGAUAUUAUUUAAGUUGGAUGAAUAUGUAUGAAGUUUGGUUGCUUAAUUUUAAUGUUUGAAUUAUUU